rnacentral:tRNA from 1 species
GCGCCAUUAGCUCAAUUGGAUAGAGCAUCGCGCUGGUUGCAGGUUCAAGCCCUGCAUGGCGCACCA